GCGUCUGCCAAACUGCAGGUUCUCAUGCAGUGGCUCUGGGACAGGGUGUGAGACCACGUUUCUUACCAGCUCCCAGGGGAGGACAAUACUGCUGGUCCCUAGACACACCUUCAGUAGCAAGGCUCUGUGACACCCCUGCAACAAGCUAGAGAGUCCUAACCCCCAGAUAGCUCAGCUGUCCCCUGGGGGCAGUGCCACCACCCCUCCUGCCGGGACAGAAUGUGUUCCAGGUCAUUCAGGUAUUCCUGGAAUCCACCUCUGGUGUCACCACUGGUGCUGAAGCCAAAAGUUAAGUUACCAGUAAAAUGAGCUACAGGAAUCAGACCAACUCCGGCUGCCAGCAAGAUGCUAAAUAGAACCAAUUGUACUCAAGAGGCCAAGAAGAAAUUCCUGCCUUUUGAGAUCAAGGAAAGUAAAAGACAGUUCAGCAAAAAGAGAGACUGAGAAGCUUGAUUGGUGAAAAGCGAGGGAGGAUCAACAUGUUUUUCAAACCCGUGCAGGCUGCAGAAGACACUAUCGCCUUCCUCUCAAGAGCCAUCCUCCACUUUUAUCUCCGCUAACAGAAACUCAGUUGUAUUCUGAUCUUCACCCCUCAGGCAAGGUAAACUAUUCCCAGCUCAAGACUAAAUCCCAGUUGUCCAAGCCAAACAUGCAGUCUCAUUCCCCCCGACAAUGAUGAACACAAAACUGCAUGUGACCUGAUUCUGACCACGGUCCUGCCACAAGACUCUGGGAAAAACCGCUGACUCUUAAAAUGAGAAACACAAGAAAAGAAAAGCCAGUCUCUUUUUGCCUUUGGACAUUGGUGCAUUUGAGUGUGAUGGCUGGGCUAUGGCAACCAUCUUGGCACCAUGAGGAGAACAACUUGAGGCAGGACUGACAGGCCCAAGACCCCAGAAAGGAAGGACAGUAGAAGAAACCUGGAUGCUUGGAAAUGUAGAGAACCAUGCAGUUAACCAGAGGACAGCCUGCCUUGGGUCAUAGAUCUUUCUUCUUGUUUAAACAUUUGGCAUUGGGGUUUCUUUUACCUGCUACCUAAAGGAUACCAACUGGUACAUGAGAUACCUCCUAUUUCUUCCUAGAGGCUGAAACAGACCUAGUCAAAGCUCCAGGCCUUUCCCAACUCCCAGGCAUUGCAUGCUCACUUUUCCAGUUGUCUAAGGACAGAACAGACCCUUAUAUCUGAGGGUACCCGGGGGAGCUCCGCCAUGACCCACAUGUAUUCCUCGUGCCUGAAAUGCCACCCUUAGUGAGGUAUCAUUCUGUUUCGAUAUGCAAAUAGUCCUGGGGUAAAUUAAGUCCCCUAAGUGAGAAAGAACUAAUUGCAUCUCUUUCUUCUUCCAAGAAACUUUGGCAGACUGUUAUUACAAGAGAAACAGAUGCCAAGAUGGGAGUUAACGCACAGGGGUUUCAUGAAGGUAAAUGCCUGUGAGAGAAAAUGGGUGGAAAGGAGGGUAGCGAGAGCAGUCAGGCCAUGUGAUGCAAGACCCUGAGUGGAGGAGAGAGGGAAGGACGAUUGGGUAGAAGUAUUCUAGCCAGUUGUGCCAACUUGAUAGGCUUGGCAGCACCUUCCUUGAGCCAUGGUCUAGUAACAGAGGAGUUCUGUGUCUGCCAGUGAUAGCUCCCCUUCAAUUCCUGCCAGGCAGUCCUGGGUAGGAGCAGCCUCUGGGAGGUGUGGCCUCUGCACAGACACAGCUGGAAAAAACAGGCUCCUGGGGCAGAGGGGAAGGAGACUUGGGGUGGAAGACAGCCCCGCAGGGGGUCGUGUCUGUGUGAUGGUCACACUGUCCCAUCCAGGCACUCACUCAGUAAACCUCUUUCAGUGAAGUCAGCUCAGACCACCAGUUCUUCACAUGGUGGUCAUGUCAACGGCUGUCGUUGCUGACGAAUGGAAACUAGAGAAGGGGCUAGGUCACUUGAGAACAUUAAUGUGUCAUGGCCAGGUUGGCACAGGAGAAAGCUGAGCUCACGAGGCAGAGGCUCCAGGAGUCACAUAUGCCUGGGGAUUAGUGCUACUCUGGACUUCACAGGCCAUGCAGUUUGGGGCAGUUUGAGGCCAUUUUCUCUGGUUCUCACUGGCCAGGAAGAACCCCACCCAACCUCUGAGUUACUCAUUGUAAGCCUGGCUGCUGCAUCAGAGAUUCAAAACACUGGGCCUUAAGUGAGAGUGCAGUUGCCUUCUUACCUAUUAGUGCAGGUGCAGGUUUGGGAUGGGGACCCAGGCUCCUGCCCUCUUGUUGCUCUGCCCUCCCCAGAGUGCUGCAAAGGAAUAUCAUCUGCAGAAAAAUAUUGAUGAGAUGAUGCCUUGGCAGCCCAUGUAUGUGCCAGGCACGGUUCUCAAUACUUUAUAAGUAUCAAGCCUUUAACCCUCAAAAUCUCUCAGAGUAGAUAAUAUCCUAAUUUUACAGAAAGUGAAGCCAAAAACGUCGAGUUGCCAGUUCCACAAUCUAUGCUGGCAACAACUAUGCCUGCUAGCCAGAAGGAAGAGGGGGCUGUGCAGAGAAAUGGAGCCCUCUUCCCCUUUAAGGACUGAGACAGAUACCAUGAGUCAGGUGGCCACUCUUGGUUUCCAGGGUGGCUGAGAGAUGUAGUCUUUAGCUGGGCAGGCAUGUGCAAAGUGCCCAGUUAAAUUACUGCUCUGCCUGGAAUGGCUCUUCCAAUCAUUUACACCAUCAUUCAUGAUUUACCAGGCCAUGAUUUAGGCUAACAUUAUCCAAGAUUCAGUUCACCUGCACUGGGAAGACAGUCCCAACUCCACCCCUGGCUGGGUUAAAUGCCCCACUUAGGGCUUCCAUUAGCCCCUGGGAUGCCUUCUAUGUCACUCUUAUCAUAUGUUAUUAGAAGAUCCUCUCUGGUCCCAAUAGGCCUACAGACAUGGUUUGUUUGGUCCACACAGUGUUUAAAGAAAAAAAAAAAAUAGAAAAAAAAGCCCCCCCCCCCGACAUCCCUCCCCCACAUUCCAAACGUAUGGCUUCCCCUUAAAAAUCAUAAGGCACAAUAAUAAUGGACAGUCAACUGAGACUGAGUAGCUCCCCAAUCCCUGUACAGAGGACACAUGCACUUUGUUCACAGUCCCCACCGCUCCCUAAUGUCCCACACCCUGCCUAAUUCAUUCAUUCAUGUUGCCUGCCUGGCCCCUGUAGGUAGUAGCCAUUGCAACUCCACUGGACUAUGGGUUUUUGGGGGGUAAAGUGUGCUUUAGCUGGAUGCGCCUUGCACUUGGCACACAGCAGGUGCUCUGAAAUGUUUGCGGAGUGUGUGAAUAGUCGCUGAAACUUUCAGGACUAAAUUGCAUUGCAGCACAGACAUACAUUCCACCCACACCCUUCCCAACCGUCACCCCAAAGAAAUCUAUAUUUAAUUGGUUUGCAAAAUCAGAGCCUCCAAGCAGCUUCACACUAGAGAUCCUUUCUAAACGGCAGAAAUGCGACAGCUUAGCCCUGCGUGCUCCAGCCUAUUCAUAGCUCGGGUGUGUUUCCUGGGCAGCUGCAUUGUUCUUAGUGGGAGAGCAGCAGAGGCAACCUUCUAAGUCCAACUCUAGCUCUGCCUCUCCCAACCCUCCCUCAUGCCCUUCCCCAAUUCUCUUUCUCUGUCCAGCUCGCGGGCCCGCUGCCUAUUCUGUUGGAUGGUUAUUUAUUUAUUGUCAGCACUAAUCAGAGGGUGGGGAGGGGAAAUAGGAGCUCUUGCCGAUGUGAAAGUCCUUCCCCAGGGUCCCCAGGGAGAAUCCUGUGCGGUGUGCGGCGCCAGAGGUCACUGUCACCUUGGCCUCGAGGUGGCCUGUUUACCAAAGUGAAAUGAAGAUAUCAGUUAGAUGUCAGGUAAAUGCUAAUGGCCAGCAGAGAGCUGGUACAGGAUUGGCCGGGCUGGGUGAACCCUUUCUUUCCAAUUCUGCAGCACAAAGGCCCCAGUGACUUAGCAACUCCGAUAAGAGGUCAAUGGGCAAAUGUCAGUCCUUGAUUGAAUGCGCCUCUUGGCCUGGUUUCAGGAGUUCAGGGCUGCCUCCCUGCGUUUCCCUCGGCUCUCCUCACUCCUAUUCAACUGGAGGAAGGUGAAGCAUUUGUUAGAAAGCCCUCCCAUCCACCCUUUCCCUAUCUCUGGCAGGAAAGAAAGCCUAUCCCUCGUGUCCCAAGGUCCGAAAGCACAAUGAAAACCGGCAUCAUUAUCCUCCAGCCGUGAAUGGGAAAAGCGGGAUGUUGACUAUGGGUCGUCACCUAGGAGAACAGAUGAGACUAGAUUCGGUCACAGAAAAGAACAGGAAACAGUCGUUGCCUUGUUUAUCAGUGUGUGAUAGAUAGCACCCCCGGGCCGCCUCUCCACGCAGGGCCUCAUUAGGAAGUCGGCACCUGAAACAGGAACCUCCGCAUCACGUGGUCCAGGAUGAACCGGGCCUGUUAGCUCAGUCUCCCAGGACUGUGGAUCCUUUUUGCAUUCCUUCUAUUGCUUUUCCAAUGUGGGGAGUUGGCACUGGGCACAGUGAGGGUCUCACACCUCUGCUGGUUCUCACCCACAGGAAGCGUCUCCCACAUCCACAUCUUCAAGCAGCCCCUCCCCAAGCCCCUCGAUGUCACUUCGUCUUCAUCCUCAUUUAGGCUUUUCUGCAAACUCUCCUGCUCCUUGGUCAGCCCUCUUUUAUUCUUCUUUAGACUUUUUCUCUGCAUCCUCCUGCCCCUGCCACCGUAACAAUUGAAAGAACUGUCAAAUCUUCUCAAAUAAAUUUUUCUGCAUU